rnacentral:tRNA from 1 species
GGGCGUAUAGCUCAGUUGGUAGAGCCAUCGGCUCAUAACCGAUCGGUCGUAGGUUCGAAUCCUACUGCGCCCACCA